ensembl:misc_RNA 7SK 7SK RNA
GGAUGUGAGGGCAAUCUGGCUGUGACAUCUGUCACCCCACUGAUCACUAGGGUGGCGUCGGCCCAUCCGGCUGGCCAACGGCCGGGCACCUGGCAGGUGUCACCUUCCUCUCUCGCUGCCGCACGUGUGUCCCUCCUGAAGCUGCGUGCUCGGUCGAAGAGGACGGCCUUCCCUGACAGAGGAGGACCAUUCUCUUGGGUCAAGGGUAUAUGAGAUGAAUAGCCGUGAUCUCCUCCUAGAAGCCCCAAACAAGCUCUUCAGGUUCGUUAGUAGGAGAACGUAGGGCAGUCAAGCUUCCAAGAUUCCAGACACACCCUAAACGGGGCACUGCAUGGGGCCGUCUGCCUUUCAUA